rnacentral:rRNA from 1 species
CUACGGGAUGCUCCAGUAGGGAAUCUUAGACAAUGGGGGAAACCCUGAUCUAGCCAUGCCGCGUGAGUGAUGAAGGCCUUAGGGUUGUAAAGCUCUUUCGCUGGGGAAGAUAAUGACGGUACCCAGUAAAGAAACCCCGGCUAACUCCGUGCCAGCAGCCGCGGUAAUACGGAGGGGGUUAGCGUUGUUCGGAAUUACUGGGCGUAAAGCGCGCGUAGGCGGGCUAUUAAGUCAGGGGUGAAAUCCCGGGGCUCAACCCCGGAACUGCCUUUGAUACUGGUAGUCUUGAGUUCGAGAGAGGUGAGUGGAAUUCCGAGUGUAGAGGUGAAAUUCGUAGAUAUUCGGGGGAACAUCAGUGGCGAAGGCGACUCACUGGCUCGAUACUGACGCUGAGGUGCGAAAGUGUGGGGAGCAAACAGGAUUAGAUACCCGUGUAGUC